rnacentral:lncRNA from 1 species
UACUCUAGCCAGAGAUUUUCUGAACUCAGUCUUAUGAAUCGUAUAGGACUUCUCCUUUUCUACCAAGGUCGAUAGAUUCUAUCUAGGUGCAUUCUACUCUAAACAGUGAACCUGAACCUACAAUAGCCAUCAUAUACAGUAAAGAUCCGAAUGGCUAGAGAUCAAAGGAAUGUGUAGUCAAACUAUGUAGUCUCACUAUGAAUAGCCAACAUACC